GGUGUGACUGCGUACCUUUUGUAUAAUGGGUCAGCGACUUAUAUUCUGUAGCAAGGUUAACCGAAUAGGGGAGCCGGAGGGAAACCGAGUCUUAACCGGGCGUUAAGUUGCAGGGUAUAGACCCGAAACCCGGUGAUCUAGCCAUGGGCAGGUUGAAGGUUGGGUAACACUAACUGGAGGACCGAACCGACUAAUGUUGAAAAAUUAGCGGAUGACCUGUGGCUGGGGGUGAAAGGCCAAUCAAACCGGGAGAUAGCUGGUUCUCCCCGAAAGCUAUUUAGGUAGCGCCUCGUGAAUUCAUCUCCGGGGGUAGAGCACUGUUUCGGCUAGGGGGCCAUCCCGGCUUACCAACCCGAUGCAAACUGCGAAUACCGGAGAAUGUUAUCACGGGAGACACACGGCGGGUGCUAACGUCCGUCGUGAAGAGGGAAACAACCCAGACCGCCAGCUAAGGUCCCAAAGUCAUGGUUAAGUGGGAAACGAUGUGGGAAGGCCCAGACAGCCAGGAUGUUGGCUUAGAAGCAGCCAUCAUUUAAAGAAAGCGUAAUAGCUCACUGGUCGAGUCGGCCUGCGCGGAAGAUGUAACGGGGCUAAACCAUGCACCGAAGCUGCGGCAGCGAACGU
rnacentral:rRNA from 1 species